GUUUAUGUAAACAUGACCACUAGAUAGCACCUUUGUAUUUUUGCUAAAUUUAAUAAUGUCAAUUCUUAUUAUUGAAUAACUCCAUGGAUAUAUAGUAACGAACGUUGUGGUUUUGAUUUUCAUUACUAGAUGACGCCAUGAUUUAACGUCGACUUAUUAAUUCUGGUUAUAAGAUAGCUUUAUGCGAUACUAGUAAUGUUCUUUUUUGAUAAACUGUAUUACUAUUCUACAUUUCUAUUCCCAUACUUCAUUCAUUAUCUUUUGCUCGAAGCAUGUGUGACUUCAGUGACAAGAUAGAAGAAUAUGAACUAUAGGUACAAAUGGAGAAUACUGCAUCACCAUGCACUUAUGCAUCUAUCGAUGUAUAAGACUGCUUAAGCGAUGAAAAAACUAUAAAUGAGUUUCUUAUUUCUGUUGAUAUUUUCAUUUGUGGUGAGCAAUACUGAUCUUACUCUGCAAUUCUUAAUCGGAAAAAGAUAAUUUUAAUAAAACUAUGUAAAGUUUAAAAAAAUGUAUAGACUUAAUUAUUAUAAGUUAUUGUUAUAUAACUAUUAGUAACUAGUAGAGUUCAGUAUAGGAUUACAUAUAUCUUCAAUGAAUAUUAAAUAAUCGAAAGAAUCGUAUCGUAAAACCUACACUAUUCAAGUAUGAUAUGAAAAUCAGUAAUGGGUACAAGUUUCUUUUUUCAUCGUAAAUUUCAAGGGGCGCCACUUCACAAAAUUUAUUUUUCACGAGAACACCAAUAAUGAAUUCAAGUAUAAUUCUUGACCGAUUUUGAUAAAUAAGAUUUCAUUUUAAAGAUGAAAGUAUAUAUAAACCUGGAGAUGAUUCUUUCGAAUUUUUGACAAAACAUUAUUUUUAUAUAUAUGAAUUAUUCUAGAAAAAACAUUAUUUUUUCUCACCAUAUUUUUUCAAAGAAAAUAAAAUUUCAAAAAAUUCGAGUUAUAUUCUUCUUUAAGAAUAGACUCAUAUCUAGUCUCAUUGUUGAUGUACAAAUAUAAAACUAGGGAUAAUGAACAGUUUUAAUGUUUACCGCAAAAUGGUGAACUAUUGCGAAUUCAUAUACAUAUCUAUAUGUACACUCCUGCAUAAAAUAAUAGUACUUAUGUGCUACUUUUAACUUAGAAUUUCUAAAUGUAGAAAAUAGCACAUAAAUGUCAUGAUAUUGGAAGAAAAAAUCUCAUUGACUUUCUAAGUAAACAGAAAAAAAGAGAUAAAUGCUGAAGCAUGAUUCCUGCCAUUCAUCGAACAAAAGUUGUAGAAACAUUUUUUAAAAGAAAGAAUGUAUCAGUUACGUCAUGGCCUGCAUGGUUCCCAGAUUUGAAUAUAUAAUUGUUGAGAACGAAAAUUGUUGGAAAGAACUCAUGUGUGCCAUAUACAAGAAUGGAAGGCAGUACAAUAAUGUUCAAGAAUUAAAAGAAUCGAUUAUCGUAGAAUGGAAUAAGUUGUCUCAGAAUACCAUCAAAAAGUUCGAGAAAUCUUUACCAAACCGUAUGAUUGAAAUUAUAGAGAACAAAGGCGGUUACACACAUUAUUAAUUUCAUAUUAAUUAAGAAGAAACUUUUCUUUUUGUUAUAAAUAUACAUAUAAAUUUUUUUAAUGUGCUAUAAUUUCGUAAAACGUAAAAUUUUUGUUUUCUUUACAUAUAAUAAAUGUUAAAGAGAACGACCUUGUCUUAAACAGAUUCUUUCUUCUUGCAUCUUGACAUUUAUGCACUAUUUAAUAUAUUUAUAAAUUCUAAGUUGUCUUUGAAAAAUUAAAGAUAACGCACGUGCUAUCAUUUUGUCCAAGAGUAUAUAUAGAUGACACUAAUAAUUACAAUAAAUCUUUGGAAUAUUUUUCUUAUAAUAAUUUUUAAGUAUUUCUCAUGCACUUUUACAAUAUUAUAUAUUUUUAAACAUAUUAUAAAAUAUUUAAAAUAUUAUGAUUAUUUUUGCUGAAAAGUUAUACAAAUAAUACCUUGUUUAAGUGAUACUUUGAGUCUCAUUGAUUAUAAGUGAUGCUUUUAUAAUUAAUAAUUAAAUUUUAAUGUUAACUUUCUUUUCUAUAAAAAUAGUAUACAGACAAAACCUAUUAGUGCUUAUUAUUAAUGAUUGUAAAAUUCCCUUUAAUCUUUAUUUUGUAAAUGAUACAAUAUCAUUUAAUAAAAGACGUUAUAUACUUAUAUUUUAUUUAAUAUGUUAUUAUAAAUGCAUUUUUCAUUGCAAACCAAGUUGUUGAAUUAACUAGAAUAAUUAUAUCUUUUAUAAGUACAAUAAACCCGGCAUC